rnacentral:lncRNA from 1 species
GUCAGCAGGCCGCACACGCGCCGGACCGGGUACCGCUGUGCCCGGCCUGGCCGCGGCCUAGUCCCGGCAGACGGGACUGACGAGGUCACCAAGCCCAGGCCGAGACGGCGCGGGUGUCAGGGACUUGGGAAUCCCCCUCCCCCAGUCCCGAUCCCGCUUUCCUUUGGGGUUUCACCUCAGAGGACCCGACAGCACUCUUGCAGUUUCCUCAUCCUCAAGAUGGACUGCACCUUCUGGCAUCUCAAGUGGUUCUUGUGAAGAUUAAAUGAAUCCAUCAGGCCGGGUGCGGUGGCUCACGCCUGUAAUCCCAGCACUUUGGGAGGCCGAGACGAGCGCAUCACCUGAGGUCAGGAGUUCCAGACCAGCCUGGCCAACAAGACCUCCCCACAGAGUUGACGCUCUGGAAAGAAAAGCCAGGCUUUUCUCUGAGGUUUUGCAUCUCCUUGGCCAAUGUGCUCAUGCCAGAGAAGAGCAGUGCAUGGCCAGUUUGAGGAGCACGGCCAUGUGACCUUGGACAGCCCCUGCCUCUCUCUAGGACUCACUCCCGGUCCCUAACCUCAGCUCUCUGAUCUGUACCACAAGGAGCUGCCACUAACACCUGUGUCAGAACUACUGUAAGGACCCUUUCCUCCUGCGAGAGGAGAACAGUGCUAAACCUGUCUGAACGUGAUAGACAUGCUACAAACUGCCAACCCUUUAGGCUAUAAACUGCUCACACAUGGGCCAAGUGUCACUCUCA